GCCAUUCUCCUGCGUCAGCCUCCUGAGUAGCUGGGACUACAGGCACCCGCUACCACUCCCGGCUAAUUUUGUGUGUGUGUGUGUUUUUAGUAGAGACGGGGUUUCACCAUUUUGGCCAGGCUGGUCUCGAACUCCUGACCUCAAGUGAUCCGCCUGCCUUGGCCUCCCAAGUUUUGUUUGUUUGUUUUUUAUUUCUUCUAAACAAAACAAAACAAACAGGAUACACGUGCAGAACGUGCAGAGACAGUGUCUCACCUUGUCACCCAGGUUGGAGUGUAGUGGCACAAUGAUAGCUCACUGCAGCCUCGACCUGCGCUCAAGGGAUCAUCCCGCCUCAGCCUCCUAAGCAGCAGCUGGUACUACAGAGACGGUUUUGAUACGUUGCCCAGGCUGGUCUUGAACUCCUGGGCUCAAGCAAUCUGCCCGCCUCAGCCUCCCAAAGUGCUCCUGCACUGUUUUAAGGUCCUGUCUGAAGUCCUGUGAACGUACUGUCUGAGGCACAGUCCUGAUAAACCCUGCUACAGAUGUGAACAGCACGACCUAA